UCCGAGUUGACCCCGGCAGUAUCCCAUGAGUUCCCACCAUUACGUGCUGGCAACAUAGGACGAGGGUUGCGCUCGUUGCGGGACUUAACCCAACAUCUCACGACACGAGCUGACGACAACCAUGCACCACCUGUAUACCGACCUUGCGGGGCGAACAUUUCUGAACGUUUCCGGUAUAUGUCAAGCCUUGGUAAGGUUCUUCGCGUUGCAUCGAAUUAAACCACAUGCUCCACCGCUUGUGCGGGCCCCCGUCAAUUCCUUUGAGUUUCAGCCUUGCGGCCGUACUCCCCAGGCGGGGCACUUACUGCGUUAGCUGCGGCACGGAACCCGUGGAAGGGAUCCCACACCUAGCGCCCAACGUUUACGGCGUGGACUAC
rnacentral:misc_RNA from 1 species